AUUCCUACCAACAAGGUUUCAUACUUACAGUGGGUUCUAUGUUGAGUUCUUUUCUCUCUCUGUCUCCUUGAUCAAAAAAUUCAGUUGCUACAAGUUCUGCUAUCUGAAAUAAAUAACAGACUCAGUUUUGACAAUGAAAAGCAUAUCAUUCUUUAAAACAGAGACCGUGAAUGAAGGCCCUGUUAGGAGCUGUAUAUCUCCAUUUUAUAGCAAAUAAGCAGCAGCUUGAUACCCGAAGACAAGUAGUCCAUGUCCAAAGCGUGCUCUCUUAACUAUUACAUUAUACUCUUUUUCACUUAGGUACAUCUCUCUGUCUUUGGUAGCUUCCAACAUUUUUCCCUUUUAAUUUUAUUUAAAAAUGUUUUCUUCAUUUAUUUUCUCCCCAUAAAACAGUAUGUACAAGGGUUUGAUUCAGGGGAGAGAAAGGAUAUAUGAAGACACAUUCUUCCCUCUUCUAUUCUCUUACCUGGUUAGAAAUAAAUAGGCAUAUAGUCCUGUUUAUUAUGGGCAGGAAGGUAGGUAAAGAUCACCUAAGUGCUUAUGGCGUGUUGGCUUUGGCACAUGGAGAAUGAGUUUUUGAUCUUGUUUUCUCGGCAUGUCUGUUUCAUGAGAUGAGCCUGUAGGAAGAGUUACUAGGCUCCCUGACUAAGCAGCCCGGAGUCUUGACCAACAGCAGGCUGUCAACAAUCCUAAAUAGCAUAUUUAUUACGGACUCAAAAUGAAAUCUUGAAAAACAAAAACACAAUAUAUAUGUCACUGCAUGGACAUCCAUCACUUUUUCUGAGCCUGUAUUGCCUCUGCAAAACAUUAUAGCAGUUACUUAGAGGGAAGGAUUUUUUUCUAGCCUCCUGGUAACAGGCUCCAUUCAGAACUUUCUCGACAUCUUAUAUCAA
rnacentral:lncRNA from 10 species